UACGGAGGGGCCGAGCGUUAAUCGGAAUUACUAGGCGUAAAGGGCGCGUAGGCGGUGGGUUACGUCUGCCGUGAAAUCCCCGGGCUCAACCUGGGAAUGGCGGUGGAAACGGGCUGGCUGGAGUAUGGGAGAGGGUGAUGGAAUUCCAGGUGUAGCGGUGAAAUGCGUAGAGAUCUGGAGGAACACCAGUGGCGAAAGCGGUCACCUGGCCCAAUACUGACGCUGAGGCGCGAAAGCGUGGGGAGCAAACAGG
rnacentral:rRNA from 1 species